rnacentral:lncRNA from 1 species
AAAUGUGGUAGCUUUUAAUUAACUGUAUCUUUUAAAUCCAUAAACACAGUAGGUUAUUUUUGUCACUCAGAACACAUUUUCUACUUGCUUUGAAAAUCAACAAAUUUAAUUCACAGAGGCAGAACCAGCAGUCGAACCACAGAAGGCUACAGCCUCAAGAGUUAAAUGGACCUCCAAAUCUAGGGGGAAAGUGAGGAAAAGGGUAGGAUAGAUGCUCAGGAAGGGACCACCUCUGUCGCUGCAGCAGUGAGAUACCCAGAAACCCAUACUCUGUGGAUGAAGAGAUUUUGCCACAAGGAGACUUUCCAAAAAUAAAUUGUUUUGUUGUGUGGCUGGAAGUAUUUUACCGGUGAGGUGGAGGUGGAGAUUUUUCCUUACUUUUCAUCAAGAAGAUAAUUUGUAAAUGUGGAAUUGUAUCACGUUAUGGAAAUAAGUUAAAAAACAAAAUCAGUCUAUCCCUGUGUGGUAAAGAAUUAACUUUACCGGAAGCCAGUGGGCUCUGUGGUGCCAUGCCCUUGGUGUGAGUCUUUCUUCUCCUGCAGUAAUUAAGUGGAGCAUCAGCUUUUGCUUGGUAUCCCAUCUUGUGUGUCUUGGGUCAAUGAUGUUUCUUCAACUGAUCUCUUUGGGAACUUGCAGGAGAGUGUCUCAUAAGGAAACUGGUGAUAGCACCGUACAAAUUAGCACACAAUAAGUGAAUAUCACCAUAAAGAAAAACACUAUUUCAAAAGCAUAUCAGAAACACAGCAAUCAAAGAGUUUUGGAAAUGAACAGCCAGUGGUCGCCAAGGCGUGGAA